CGGGUGCUUCCCCAGAGACCUGAAGAGACAGGCGAAGGAGAAGGGAUAGGGGUGUGAAGUUUGCCUGACAUUCUGGAGCACACAUUUACCCAGGACCCCAAGUUCCUUCUAGGUGCUAAAUGCUCCAUUCGUCCUGAAAUGCAAAUGAUCUCAGCUCCAAAAGAAGUGGAGAGAAGGCCUGGACUGUCCUGAGGUAUUUGCUUCACGUCUCUGCUUUGAGACAGGAUCCUGCGCCCAAAGUGACAGGAGGGGUA
rnacentral:lncRNA from 1 species